rnacentral:tRNA from 1 species
UAAAGAAUAGCAUAAAAAAUGCUUCUUGCUUACAACAAGAGGAUAGUUGAGUAACUUUCUUUAA